GGGAUAUUUGUAACUAAGGUUUUUGUCAUAUUUGUUCUAAAUUAUCAGUUAAGUUAAUGUUAGGAUGCAAUGUCUAAAUUAAUCAAUCAUGCACACACCGUUAUUAUAGGCAUAUUGCAAUAAUGGGAUAGCAGUAUCUAAGUUUUGUUCAUAUUUAUUCCCUGUUUUCAGUAAAUUCCCUUUCAUCCCUGUUUACUUGGUAUUCAUACCCCUAUCAUCUUUAUAAUAAUUAUUUCCCAGCCAUAGCCUACCACUGAUUUAUCAAAUAAGCUAAGGUUAGUAUGCAAUGUCUAAAUGAAUCACUGAUGCACACACCGCUAUUAUAGGCAUUCCAAUAAUGGGAUAUUAGUAUCUAGGGUCUUUGUCAUAUUUGUUCUCUGUUUGAAGUAAAUUCCCAUUCUUCUCUGUUAAGUUGGUAUUCAGUCCCUAUCAUCUUUAUAGUAAUUAUUUCCCAGCUAUAACAUAUUACUGAUUUAUCAAUUAAGUUAAGGUUAGGUGUAAUCUUAUGAAUGCAGUAUCUAAAUGAAUCACGCACACACCGUCAUUUAGGCAUUGCAAUCAUGAGAUUCUAGUGUCUGGUUUUGUAAAGUUAUUGAUUCUCUCUUUUAAGUAAAUUCCAGUCCUUCCCUGUUUAGUUGGUAUUUAGCUCCCUAUCAUCUUUAUAGUAAUUAUUUAGCAGCCAUAACUCAUCACUGAUUUAAUAAUUAAGUUAAGGUUAGGAUGCAAUGUCUAAAUGAAUCACUCAUGCCCAUACCGCCAUUAAAGGCAUUGCAAUAAUGGUAUAUGAGUUUCUAGGGUUUUUGUCAUAUUUCUACUCUGUUUGAAGUAAAUGCCCUUCUUCCCUGUUUACUUGGUAUUCAUACCCCUAUCAUCUUUAUAAUAAUUAUUUCCCAGCCAUAGCCUACCACUGAUUUAUCAAAUAAGCUAAGGUUAGUAUGCAAUGUCUAAAUGAAUCACUGAUGCACACACCGCUAUUAUAGGCAUUCCAAUAAUGGGAUAUUAGUAUCUAGGGUCUUUGUCAUAUUUGUUCUCUGUUUGAAGUAAAUUCCCAUUCUUCUCUGUUAAGUUGGUAUUCAGUCCCUAUCAUCUUUAUAGUAAUUAUUUCCCAGCUAUAACAUAUUACUGAUUUAUCAAUUAAGUUAAGGUUAGGUGUAAUCUUAUGAAUGCAGUAUCUAAAUGAAUCACGCACACACCGUCAUUUAGGCAUUGCAAUCAUGAGAUUCUAGUGUCUGGUUUUGUAAAGUUAUUGAUUCUCUCUUUUAAGUAAAUUCCAGUCCUUCCCUGUUUAGUUGGUAUUUAGCUCCCUAUCAUCUUUAUAGUAAUUAUUUAGCAGCCAUAACUCAUCACUGAUUUAAUAAUUAAGUUAAGGUUAGGA